GGGCCCGUAGUCUAGCCUGGAUAGGACGCAGGCCUGCGGAGCCUGUGACCGGGGUUCGAAUCCCCGCGGGCCCGCCA
rnacentral:tRNA from 1 species